GACUACAGGGGUAUCUAAUCCCGUUUGCUCCCCACGCUUUCGUGCCUCAGCGUCAGGUAUGGCCCAGUCGCCUGUCUUCACCUUUGGCGUUCCGAUAGAUAUCUACGCAUUUCACCGCUCCACCUAUCGUUCCAGCGACCUCUACCAACCUCAAGACACGUGGUUCGCCAAGCAAUUCCUCGGUUGAGCCGAGGGAUUUCACAAAGCGCCUACGCAUCCGCCUACGCACCCUUUAAGCCCAGUGAUUCCGAUUAACGCUCGCACCCUCUGUAUUACCGCGGCUGCUGGCACAGAGUUAGCCGGUGCUUCCUUUGGGUAUGGUCAUUUCUUUCCUGCACCCUGACAGCAGUUUACACCCCGAAGGGCUUCAUCCUGCACGCGGCAUUGCCCCGUCACGCUUUCGCGCAUUGCGGAAGAUUCCUUACUGCAGCCCCCCGUAGG
rnacentral:rRNA from 1 species